rnacentral:rRNA from 1 species
UGAGGAAGGAGAAGUCGUAACAAGGUUUCCGUAGGUGAACCUGCGGAAGGAUCAUUGUCGUAUCCCCGCCCCGACGGCACACUCGCGAACUGUCCCAUCCCGUCGUCCUCGGUCGGUAGGUAGGUAGGACGCCCCCCCGCGCGGGACGCCGACCGACCGACCGACCGACCGACGAACCUUUUCCGGCGCGGUCCGCGCCAAGGAACACCGACCGACGAGAACGCCCGCGCCGUCCUCGCUCCGUGCCUGGCCGCGCGGGCGCUCCCACGUACAGAAAUCUUAACGACUCCCGGCAACGGAUAUCUAGGCUCUCGCAUCGAUGAAGAACGUAGCGAAAUGCGAUACGUGGUGUGAAUUGCAGAAUCCCGUGAACCAUCGAAUCUUUGAACGCAAGUUGCGCCCGAGGCCGUCAGGCCGAGGGCACGCCUGCCUGGGCGUCACGCCCCGCGUCGCUCCCACUCCCCCCCGCCCCGCGCGGCGGCCGUGGGACGCGGAGAUUGGCCUACCGUGCUGCGGCGCGGCGGGCCGAAGUGCUCGAACCCUUCCCCGUGCGUGGGACGAGAACACGGCGAGUGGUGGAUUGGAUUGGAUCGGAUCGGACCGACCGACUCAUCGUCGCCGCGCCCUUCUCGCCCCGCCGCCCGGCGGGCGGGAUUCACGAAACCCAGCCGCGAGCGGCCGUUCGGAGGCGCCGCGCGCCGCCGACGCCCGCUCCGACCGCGACCCCAGGGCAGGCGGGGCCACCCGCUGAGUUUAAGCAUAUCAAUAAACGAAGGAA